AGUGAACGCUGGCGGUAGGCCUAACACAUGCAAGUCGAACGGCAGCACAGUAAGAUCUUGCUCUUACGGGUGGCGAGUGGCGGACGGGUGAGGAAUACAUCGGAAUCUACUUUUUCGUGGGGGAUAACGUAGGGAAACUUACGCUAAUACCGCAUACGACCUACGGGUGAAAGCAGUGGAUCUUCGGACCUUUCGCGAUUGAAUGAGCCGAUGUCGGAUUAGCUAGUUGGCGGGGUAAAGGCCCACCAAGGCGACGAUCCGUAGCUGGUCUGAGAGGAUGAUCAGCCACACUGGAACUGAGACACGGUCCAGACUCCUACGGGAGGCAGCAGUGGGGAAUAUUGGGCAAUGGGCGCAAGCCUGAUCCAGCCAUACCGCGUGGGUGAAGAAGGCCUUCGGGUUGUAAAGCCCUUUUGUUGGGAAAGAAAAGCAGCAGGUUAAAACCCCGCUGUUCUGACGGUACCCAAAGAAUAAGCACCGGCUAACUUCGUG
rnacentral:rRNA from 1 species